GAACCUGGUGGGCUGCCAUCUAUGGGGUCACACAGAGUCGGACACGACUGAAGUGACUUAGCAGCAGCAGCAAAGUAGGUAUUUUUAUAUUCUUUCAACAUAGGAGAAUCUGUGACACAAAGAAAUUAACAUAUAUAUAUUAUUAUUAUAUCUAUAUUUCUGUGUAUCCAUAGUAUAUAGAUAUUCCAUAAGGCAGAGUUAGAGAUUGAGAACCCCCUUGUAUUGUGAGUAAUCAUUUGGGUAUAUGUGACAGAAAUUAAAAUCCAACCAGUGUAAAUAAAUGGGAAUGUAUGAUUCAUAUCUGAACAAUCCAAGGGUAGGGGUGGCUUCAGGUAAUAGGACUGAUGCAGGGAUUCAAUUUGAUGUCAUCAGGAUUCAAUUUUCAUUUCUUUCCUGUCUUUUUCUUUUUUUGGCUGCAUUGCAUGGCUUGCAGGAUCUUAGUUUCCUGAUUAGGGAUCGGACCCAUGCCCCCUGUAGUGGAAGCUCAGAGUCCUAACCACUGGACCACCAGCGAAUUCCCCCGUUUCCAUUUCUUGACUCUGUCUUAUAUGCUGACUAUUUUCAGGUGUUGUGUGGGUAGCAAGUCCAAGUGAAGCUGAAAAUGUGGUGUUGCUGUGACAAUAUUGUCCUUAUGGAUUCCAAUUGGUCAUGUAUCCAUCAUUGAACUACUCACUGAACUGCACACAGGGAAAUAGAAUGCUUCAUCUGACAGGUCUGAAUCAUACAUUCACUCUUGGAGUAAGGGUGUGGAGGGAAGAACACUCCACCUGCACAUGGACUGAGACCAAAGAAGCAGGGGUAUGGUCAUUCCUCCAGGAGACACAGACAUACUGUUUUUGGAAAGGUGCAUGCCUGCUCUCAGCAAAAUAAGAUGGCAUAAAAGAGAUGUCCACUACAGCUCUCUCUAACUACCCCAUUCUGUUUUCUGGCCCAGAGCCAUGCCAGAUCUUUUGAGAUCUGGGGCUUAAAUUGAAACAUGAAUGUAAUGCAGAUCCUCUGAGGUUGGAGAAGGGGUUGGAUGGGGCAUAGAGCAGAGAUCUUGAAGGAGGGAAAUCAAUGGGAGACCCAAACAUCAGUGUGGAUAGCCCUAUUCAAUGACUUAGACUCAGUUCCUAGAUAUUUUCAUCUCAGAGUCCUUUACCUCUGCUCCUAUCCAACUAUGGCCAUAUCUGAAGCAUCAUCACCAGGAAACACUCUACUUUCUGAAAUAAUAUAGUCUUAUAUCACCCUCUAACUUCAACCUCCAGAUUUAUCCUAAAAUACCAACUCUUCAACCUUCUCAGGAUAUCUAGUCCAUUGAUCUUUCCACUUUCUCCUCGUCCAUAAACAACCUCUUGCCUUAUUUCCUCCCUCUCCAAGACAGACUUCAUGGUUCAUCACCUAAUCAACAUUCAUCAAUUCAAUCUGGGAAAAUCCCAACUUGAUGCCAGAGCUGCUCUCUGGGAAAGCAGAGCUCAGCAUUAUUGGAUAAAAUCACACAUAUAGAUAAGUUGGUGGCACCAUAAAUUCAUGGUCUAUGACUAAUGGUCAAAUUCGUCAUUAUUUGAAAUGCUUUUAUUCAUGCAUUCCAUUUAUUAAGGGCCUGCUAUGUGCUAGGCACUGUUCUAAGUAUUGGGAUACAUGGGUGAUCAAAACAGGCAAAGCUUCCCUGGCAGUCCAGUGAUUAGGACUCUGAGGGGGUUUGAUCCCUGAUUGGGGAACUAAAUCCCCACAAACCCCAUCAUGUGGCACACACACACAACAGGAGGCAAAGCUUCUUGACCAUGGUGCUAUGUAAUUUAUUUCUUAGUAAAUUCUCCCACUCUACUCAAAACCAGUUCAAACCUUCUUUACUUUCCUCCACUUCUUUCUCUCCCGGCCCGCAACAUAUAUGGCAGAGCUCUACUUUUCAGAGAAACCAGGAGCUAUCCUAUGAGAACUUUGCAUCAUCCCAAAUCAUUGCCUCCAAUCUCCUUUCUUCCUGCUAUAGUGAAAGGUGUUCCUCUGGGAGACCUUCCUUGACGCCCCCAAGCUAGGAUGGGUGCCCUCAUCCUCUCCUCCUCCACAGGCACUUUCCACACUAGACUGUAACUUGUAUCUUAAUUAUCUGAGGGCAGGGACCUUGUCUACCCAGUUCACUGUUUUAACCUCAGCAUCAGACCCUUAGCUUGGGCUUUCCUUGUGGCUCAGCAGGUAAAAAAAUCUGCCUGCAAUGCAGGAGACCUCGGUUCGAUUCCUGGGUUUGGAAGAUCCCCUGGAGAAGGGAAAGGCUACCCACUCUAGUAUUCUAGCCUGGAGAAUUCCAUGUACUACAGUCCAUAGGGUUGCAAAGAGUCGGACACGACUGAGUGACUUUCACUUACAGGCGCUUAGUACAUAGUUGGAGCUCAAUACCCUAAGGGUGAAUGAACGAAAGGGUGACAUUUCCGGAGAGGGCCUGCUUAUGGGCGGGGCCUGCUCAUGGGCGGGGCCUGCUCGGGACGGGGCGGGGCCCGAGGCGGGGCUGGGCGGGGGCCACCUCAGGACUGUCCUCUCAGGCUUCUUGGAGGCCACUAGCAGACAACAGCUCAGGACGCUGAAGUAAGCAUACUUGAGAUCAGAGCGCACAGCCAAGAUUCGGGCAAGGCUUUUCGGACGCCUCAGGGUCCAUUCCGGGGCAGGACUCUAUCCUCGAGGCCUCUGGGUGAGGCGGCUGAGCCCAGGUCCCGCCGCGGAGCGCGCCAUCUUCCACAUGCGGCCGUAGCUUUGGCGUCAUAAAACUGCCCAACUCGUUUUUCUCCCUUUCCCUCCACCUUCCCUCUCCCUUUCCCCGACCCCUCUUUCCUCUUCCUCCUCCCUUUUCCCCUUCCCAUCUCAUCCAGAAGGAUGUGUCGAGUGAAGGGCCAGUAACCCAGCUCCAGUUGCAGCACUGCGGGAUCGACAUGCUCUGUUCCCCUGCACCUGAGGGGCCCAGUGUUCCAAAAACGUCAGGACUGGUCUGAACUGUGAAACCUGGAGGAACCGCGCCUCCGGGAGGGAUUGGCGUCCUCGGGAGGGUGAAGGUCGUGUCCAGGAGGAUUGUUUCAGCAUCAGUGCAGAAGGAAGAGGAGCAAAGAGGGAGCAUUUGGUAGCAUGGCCUCUUGUGGUUGCAGGGCCCCAUGCAGCCGAGGUUGACAUGAGAAGGUAAUCCUAUAGGGAAGGAAAUGUGAGAGAAACCCCUCCUUGAGGAAUAAAAGAAGCAUCUUGAAGUCAGUGACAUGGGGAAUGUGACUCCUGCCAGGCUUGCUGUGUCCUUCUAUCUCCAUUCAGUUUGUGCAUCCUGUCUUCUGCAGCCAUCUGGGAAAACUUGAUGAGAGCAGUUUGUAGCAAGAUCCCUGCUGAGAGGAUCACGAUAGAGUGACCGUGAAAGCUGAUCUUCUGAUACUUAAGUAGGUUGGGAAUCUGCUGUGUCUUCUGUGUCCCUUUGGCUAUGACCCCUGGUUCUUUGCCUGAGCCAACUUCUCUCCCCUUCUCCAGCAUCCCCACUCUCAUCAGACCCUUUUGAAAGCCAAUUAAGAGCCCCUCUGAGUGAGCCCUCUCACACUGUCUUAUUUAUCCCUCUGUCAGCCUGAGGACCUACAGAAACCCAUCUUCCCACACUGUACCCAUCUUAGUUCAUUGUCUCCCUUCCUUUAAUUGUAGCCCAACAUCGCAGUUGGGCUACAACUGCGAUGUUGGGCUACAUCACCUCAGGCCUACAUCACCCUUAAAAUUCACAUCAGUUGGCCUUCUUUCUGUCAUUAGAAGUCACUCUGACAUUUGCCUCCAUAUUUUGGCCUAUCUAUUUUUCUCAUCCUCUGAAACUUUAUUUCUUCCUCCUGGAGCUUUCCAGGCCACCGGGUACCCUCCUUGCCUUUUUAUUCACUUAACGUUCUUUCACUCCACCCCUAACGUUUAUCUUUGUUCCAGGAUCUCUGCUACUAGACCCUAUUGCCUCUCAAACUCUCAAGACUGAGACUCUUUUUUCAAUACUCUCACCACCUUUUGGCCACCAGACCUUUUUGCCACUGAUUCCUACUUUCUUAUUGGAUUAUCUUCCACCUCUAACAUUUGCCUUUUCCCCUCUUCCUUCAGAGCACACUCAGGUCCUAUUCUCUAGCUAGACUUUGUGUCUGGACUAUUUUACCUCACCUGACUCCUGACUCAGGAUAUCAACCUCUUAUGCAUGAAUCUCUCUUAUUCAUUUUUUAAAAUAUUAUUUCUAAAAAUCGAGAUAUAGUUCCCAUAACAUAGAAUUCACCCUAAGAAGUGUACAAUUCAUAGUUUCUUUUUAUAUUCUCGAGGUUGUGCAAUCACCACCACUAAUUCCAAAACAAAUUCUUCAUUUCAACAAGAGUUAUACCAUUGACAUACUGCUCAUUCCUCCCUUCUCCCAGCCCCUGGCAAUCACUAAUACACUGUCAAUCUCUCUGGAUGUGCCUGUUCUACAUAUUUCAUAUAAGUGGAAUAUAUAACUGAAAUUUUGUGUCUAGCUUCUUUCACAUAACAUAAGAUUUUGAAAAUUUAUCCUUGUUGUAGCAUGUACUACUACUUCAUUUCUUUUUUAUGGCCGAAUAAUAUUCCACCAAAACAUUUGCAUUUCCCAGCAACGUACAAGAGUUUCCUCUUGACCAAUGAUGUUGACACUUUUGGCAAAACUUCUAUUCAAGUCUUUUGCCUAUUUUAAAAUUGGGUAGAUUGUCUUUUUGUUGUUGAAUUUAAGAGUAUGUUAUGUAUUCUGGAUACUAAACCCUUAUAAAUAUAUGAUUUACAAAUACUUUA